AACAAUGCAUUUCUGAGAACGUGUCCUUAUUGUUAUGCAACAAAGGACUGUGAAUGAGAGUUUAUUUUGUUUUUCAGUCUGUACUGGCAGUGAAUCAUACAUAGCUCAGUUUAUUAGACACGCUGCUUUUCUUGAGCAAAGAAAGAACUAGGAGAGAAAUGGGGCUUUGGAACCCUGAUGGGGCAAUGCUGAAAGAGGAGAAAUAGCCCAAGGAAGGGAAAGGUGUGUUGCAGAACGAUGAAAAUUAGGUGGCUUCUCACAGCUGUUCUCAGGGGAAGAGAGGGGGUGGGAUGCAGCUCCGCUGGUGCCUAACACGAAGGGCCUUUAUCCUGCUGAUUCAGUUGUAUGGGGACUGCCAGUGCUGUCUCCUGGUCAGAUGCUGCUUCUGGUCUCCCUGUAGAAGAUGCCACUGGAGUUCCCUUUUCAAGGAUGGGGACAUUUGAAGGCCCUGGACACUCAACUCUGAGGCUGGCUGAGAUUUCAGUAGCACCGCCUGGUGGAGGGCAGAGCCAAGCUGAUGGCUUGGCACAUCAGGUAAAGUAGGGCACAGAAGCACUCCGGAUUGGACUGGUAACAGCUAGACUGAAAAGUUUGUAUUUAAAGGGAUAGUAACUUGGACUUGUUCUGCAAUAUCCCCACAAGGGCCUGACUGAGUGAGCAAGCAUGGAGGGCCGCGGGGAUUCCUGGACAGUGGCCAUUCCCAGAGUCAGGCAGGAAGGCCUCAGGAGGCUGGGGCGCCCGUUCAUGGUGAGGUGGACGCUGCCAGCGCCCUAGAACCCAGGAGGAAGCACACAGGCCCCACAGAGUGGUUGGCAAGAUUCACUCGGGGAUUAGGAUGCUGGCCAAAUCGCGGAAUUUGAGGCUGGAAUCCAAGCUCAACAGGACUGAUGUGUGUGAAGCACUCAAGAGAGCCCCUACAACCAACCCGCCAGGAGUCAGCUCCUGAAAACAGGGUGGGAAAAAGUCACUGCCCAUCAGAAUGAGCUGUUCAUAAAAAACUGGAAAGGUUAGGAGCUUUGUCUAUUUCAAGGGCAACAAAUUGCUUUGACCCUGAGGACCCUGAAGGCGAGUUUCCCUCACCUCAGCUCUCAAGACACCAGGGAUCAGAUUCAGAAGGACACUGCCCCUAUAAGGCUCUUGUUUGUCUUGUUUUUAAUUCCCGCCCUCUGUCCCCAAAUCUCCGUCCUCCAUCUGUGAAACGAAAUUCAGCCUUGCCUGUCCACAAAAUUAAGACAAGGCAUCUCGUGUGUGUUAAGAUGAAACAAGAUCUUAGCAAAAAACGUAAUGGUUUCUUUUCCAAAACAUUUUUUUACUGUAGUAAAAUGUACAUAACAUAAAAUUACCAUUUCAAUCA